AAAAAGAAGGCAGAAAUGAGGUAAGUGAAAUGUGCAAACCUGAUUAGGUUGUAAAAAAAAUAAGCAGCCAGAGAAUCCCUCUGGGAUCUUUUUUUUCUUUAGAUCUUUCUUUUUUAGAUCUCUUUUUUUCAGAUCUCUUUUUUUUUUUUUUUUCAGGGUAGAUGGAUGAGGUAGGAUGGAGUGGGAGGUGAAGGAAGGUGUUCUUACAGGUGUCCAGUCUCAGGCACGUUGAUGUUGACGUCCUGGAUGGUCUGCUUUUUCUUCUCUCUCCUAUUUCUUUAUCUCCUUGUCCUGCAGCUUAUGCCUCAUUUUUGUCCAUCUCCGUCUGCCGGUCUUUUUUUUUUUUUUAAGUACUGGCAGAUGUUUUCAAGGACUGUUUUGUUGUCCUCUAAUUCUUGGAUCCUGCUGAUAAGGAUCUGUUGUUCUUUGGGGAUGGUAUCCUCCGUUUGUUGGAUCUUAGCGAUCAGGCACAACGCAGUGAAACCACUGCUUGUGACCAUCUCGUGG
ensembl:lncRNA